AGUGAACGCUGGCGGUAGGCCUAACACAUGCAAGUCGAACGGCAGCACAGUAAGAGCUUGCUCUUACGGGUGGCGAGUGGCGGACGGGUGAGGAAUACAUCGGAAUCUACUUUUUCGUGGGGGAUAACGUAGGGAAACUUACGCUAAUACCGCAUACGACCUACGGGUGAAAGCAGGGGAUCUUCGGACCUUGCGCGAUUGAAUGAGCCGAUGUCGGAUUAGCUAGUUGGCGGGGUAAAGGCCCACCAAGGCGACGAUCCGUAGCUGGUCUGAGAGGAUGAUCAGCCACACGGGAACUGAGACACGGCCCAGACUCCUACGGGAGGCAGCAGUGGGGAAUAUUGGACAAUGGGCGCAAGCCUGAUCCAGCCAUACCGCGUGGGUGAAGAAGGCCUGCGGGUUGUAAAGCCCUUUUGUUGGGAAAGAAAAGCAGCAGGUUAAGACCCCGCUGUUCUGACGGGACCCAAGAAUAAGCACCGGCUAACUUCGUG
rnacentral:rRNA from 1 species